AUGACUUCUAAAGAUUUUAAAGCAAUUCGCUUACGCCUAUCUGAAAAUAGCAGUGUUUAUCACUAUUUGUACAUCAAGCAGAAUGUAGUUAGAGAAGCGUGCAAAGAAAAACCAUCCGACAAAACUUUAUUUGUCAUGGGGAUCCCGCCUUAUUUUACUGAGAAUUGCAUUAGCCAUUUAUUCCAGCAAUGUGGAGCCAUCUCAAACGUGUAUAUUCAUGACAAACCCUCCUUUGAACUACCUAAAGUGCCAGUAUCUAAAUUCUUCGAAAGAAACGUUUGUUGGUAA
rnacentral:lncRNA from 1 species